UACGUAGGGUGCAAGCGUUAAUCGGAAUUACUGGGCGUAAAGCGUGCGCAGGCGGUUAUGUAAGACAGGUGUGAAAUCCCCGGGCUUAACCUUGGGAACUGCAUUUGUGACUGCAUAGCUAGAGUACGGUAGAGGGGGAUGGAAUUCCGCGUGUAGCAGUGAAAUGCGUAGAUAUGCGGAGGAACACCGAUGGCGAAGGCAAUCCCCUGGACCUGUACUGACGCUCAUGCACGAAAGCGUGGGGAGCAACAGG
rnacentral:rRNA from 1 species